rnacentral:lncRNA from 1 species
UCGGAAGUUUAACGGUGGGACCAAUUUAAUUAAGAGGCAAAAAGAAGAUAAAUGAAUACAUCAUUAUCAUAUCAUCCUUCUAUGAAUACAUAAUAAUUGUUUUUUUUUUUUAAUUUAUAAUUACUUAAGUUUUACUAUGCAAAUUUAUCAUUGUAAAAAAGUUAACGAAAUAAUUUGGUUAUAUACAUGUUUCUAGCUACAAAUUAGUUUACACAACUGUUUCUUUUUAUUUAAAUCUUAACUAAUUAUUUUACCAAUUUUGAAGUUAUGUUCUCACGACUAAUUUUCAGUUCAAAAUAUGCAUAGUUUUCUUUGUUUAUAAAUGGUUAUGCUGUAAAUUUAUAAAUAUGAAUACUUGUUUAUGUAUGUGGUGUUGUGAGGUUGAUAAUUUGGGGAAGGAAGUUGGAUGUAUGGUAAAACACUAUAUUUGUUUUGUCUCAUUCUAAAACAUAUAAUAAGUUAAAAAAUAAAAAAAUUGUUGGGGUUUGUUAUAUAUUAUUGUCAGCAUGUUGACUUUGUUAUUUGCUAUGAUAGACAUUGUCACGUGUAUCGGACCUUCUCUCCUCCUUUGCAUGAUAUUGUUGUUAUUGCGACUCUUAUUGUAAAUAUUCGGAUUGUCUCCCCUCUAGUUACAGUCUUACAAAAAAAAAA